AAUUUGAAUCUGGCGUAUGCCUGAGUUGUAAUUUGAAGAGGAUGUCUUUUGCUUUAACUUGGGGUUUAAGUCUUCUGGAACGUAGCAUCAUGGAGGGUAAUAAUCCCGUAUGUGAUUCCAGGUUUUUUAAAGCAAUAUAAGACUCCUUCAAUGAGUCGAGUUGUUUGGGAAUGCAGCUCUAAAUGGGAGGUAAAUUUCUUCUAAAGCUAAAUAUAGGCUAGAGACCGAUAGUGAACAAGUAGAGUGAUCGAAAGAUGAAAAGUCCUUUGGAAAGAGAGUUAAAUAGUAUGUGAAAUUGUUGGAAGGGAAGCAUUUGCAAUCAGAUUUGUGUUGUUAAAAUUCACCUACACUUUAUGUGCUUAGAGCAUUUUUUUUCAACACUUGUCAACAUCAAUUUGAGUAGUGAUAUAAUCUUGGAUGAAAUGUAGCUCAUUGAGUGUUAUAGUUGUCCUUUGUUUAUCACUUACUUAAAUUGAGGCUUGCGAUUAUCAUGGAUGUUGACUUAAUGGUUGUAAGUGGCCCGUCUUGAA
rnacentral:rRNA from 2 species